CAGUCGCCGCGGGAAUACGAAGGGUGCAAGCGUUAAUCGGAAUUACUGGGCGUAAAGCGUGCGUAGGUGGUGGUUUAAGUCCGUUGUGAAAGCCCUGGGCUCAACCUGGGAAUUGCAGUGGAUACUGGAUCACUAGAGUGUGGUAGAGGAUAGUGGAAUUUCCGGUGUAGCAGUGAAAUGCGUAGAUAUGCGGAGGAACACCGAUGGCGAAGGCAGCCCCCUGGGCCAACACUGACGCUCAUGCACGAAAGCGUGGGGAGCAAACAGGAUUAGAUACCCCCGUAGUCCCUGUCUCUUAUAA
rnacentral:rRNA from 1 species